GGCAAAACGUCCGCCCGGGCCCGAGGCGGGCGGAGGCAGCUGUGGUUACGUGCGGGGGGCCGGUGACGCAGUCGCGGGGCGCUGGGACGCGGCUUGCGGAGCCGGCCGGCGAGCGCAGGCCCCAGGCUCGGGCGCGGCGGCGGGACAGCACCUACCUUCCCGGCUUCGGGUCCGGGAGUGCGGGGCGCGGAGCCGCCGGAGCGCUGCCUCCCUCCUUCCUCCUCCCCUCGCCCCCGCCCCGCGGCGCGACACACAAUACUCGCCGGAAGCGGAAGCCGCGCCGAGGCUCGUGUCAGUGGAAGCUGGGGUGUCGGCGGGCGGCCGCGGCCGGGUCUAGCGGUGCCUGCGGAAGAAGGAGGAGGAGGGCUGGCGAUGAGAAGCAGCAGGGGGAAUCAAGGGCAAGAAGGGACCCAGAGGGGCAGGUGGCUGAGAUGCUGGCGUCCAGGUGACCCGAGGAAUCCUCUGGAGAUACAGGCCCGCGCAUGCGCGUGCUCGAGCGCUGAAGCCCAUUGCCCGCAGGGCGCUGGACUGGCGCCCCGGCCGGCGAGGCUGUCUAGUCCAGGCUCCAGGCCCCGGCUCUGGCCAGGCGCCGCCGCCUCCCGGUGCAGCUGAAAGUCGACGAAGAGGGCGGGGCGGGGGCGGCUUGUGGACUUCCACACUUUUCCUCUCUUCGGGCCAGUCUGGGGAGAGGGUGGCUAGCUGUGGCGGCGGCCAAUUACGUGGCGGACCUGCGGGGCUAAGCUGGCACGUCACUUCCGACUAGUGGAGUUUUUAGCCUUUUAACAUUCAAGGAUUAGAGCUCCCUCUUUGCCCACUAGCAGGGCAUUAGCUGGUGCUGAAGACAGUGGCUGCUUGGCGAGCCUGGAUCUCCAAGUGACCCCCUCAGCAACUCCUGAUGAACAGGACUGAAGCCAAUAUUAAAGCAAGUCAACCAAAGGUUCUCUGGUGUAGACAAGACAGCAAAAGGACAGACUACCUUGUGGAACCUAGCAUUGUUCUCCUUCUGCAGCACUAAGUAACAUUUGUUCUCCGUUAAGAUCUUUGCAAACCACACACAAGAAUUGCUGGUCAUCCUGCCAAUAGAUGCUGCUCACAGAACCAAAUUUCCUGUGCUGAAUUGUCACUCAUGGGCUUGAGAGUAGGAGACUGGAGACCAAGGUGGCUAGAAUCCAGUUGGGCCUGAUGUCUCCCUGUUGAAAGGGCUCCUUGUGGAAUGAAUAGCACAUGGCUCCUGUGGUGGAUCUGAUAGUGGCAUAGCACCAAGUGAUGCAGGCCUGCCAGGGGCCACAGACACAGAAGAUGCUCCCGGGGUCCCCCAUGUACUCCAGACACACUGCAGGCCACCUCUCCCAGCAGGUUGCCAGUCAUGGGCCCCAUCAUCAUGACUUCUGUCCAAGGUGUGCUCGGAAAUCUCUUCCUUAACUGUGACUUUCUGACAGGUGGAGGAUGUGGUCAGGAGUGGGAAAAGGAUUCGAGACGGGAAGAGGGAGGGGUUCAGGAUGAAGAGAGAUAAUCUGUGCCACAGAUGCUGGCCCUGCAGUUAGCUCCCACCUAGUCCGUGCACACACAUUCUAAUCCCCUCCCAUUCCUUUACAUGCUGCGGCCAGAGAGGCCUUUCUCAAAGUGGAAGUCUCAUCCUCACUUCUCUGGUUACAGUGCUGGGCCAUGGUAACUUACAAGGCUUAGCAGGAACUGUCUGCGCACUCCCCCUUCCUGCCCACUACCUUGUUUCCCUCCAGUUGCGAGAGAAAACAUUGAUUGAGCAUUAACUAUGUGCCAGGCUUGUCCUAAGUCCUUUGCAUGUAUUCACUCAAACAAUCCUCACAACAUUCCUAUCACAUCUCCCAUUUCACAGUGAGGGUUCUAAAGCACGUAGUGGGUGAGGAACUUGUCCAGGGUCACACAACUAAGUGGGGGUGGAGAAACAUCAAAUCUAGGUGGUCCAGGUGGUGGCCAGAACCCAUCAGCACCUCACUACAGCUGCCUCCAGUUUCUCGCUCUAGGAAAUACUCUUCCCUGUCAACUCCUGUUGUCCUCUGGGCUCAGUUGACAUGUCAUCUCCUUGAGGAGGACAUCCUGAGAUGCUCCCCGACUAGGGUGGGCACCCACUUCCACACUCCAAAUGCCUAUUUGACCUGUGUAUCGCUGCAUCCCCACUGCCUGGCAGAUAGCAGGCCCCUAAUAAAUAUGAUUUGAGCAAAUAAAUAUAGUUCUUCAAAAAAUAGGGAGGACUUCUUGCUUCAGGUAAUGGUAGGCUAGGACAUUUGGACCAACCCUCCUGCAGAAAAUAGCCAUUUAUUUUGAUGCAAUAUAUCUGGCUAUGACUAGAGAUUUCAAAUAUUUGGAGGGCUAUUAUGUGAAGAACUAAACUUACUCUUUGUGACAUAGAGGUCAGAAAUUGGUCGUUUCCAUAGAGUAUGAGAGAGACAGAAUUGUGCUCAUCAUAAGUAUCUUUUUUAAAAGUUAGACUUAAUAAAAUGGGCUGCCUUGGUAGGUGGUGAGUUCUCUGUCACGAAAGAGAUUCAGCCACUUGCUCUGAGAAAGCAUGGAGAAUAUCAACAUUGUAAGGGUCGACCACCUCAUCUCUGAGGCCCCCUCCUCACUUAGGUUGCCAUUGCAGGUGGAACACUGGGCUGAGUGUCAAAGAACCUGGGUUCCACAAGCUGUGCGACCAUGGCUGGUUGUUUUGGAUCUCAUUCCUAAUAUCUGUUAGUUAAGCUGACCCGUCAAUACUGACCCACUUCACAGAGUUAUGAAGGGAUUAAAUUAGGUAUUACAUGUAAAUCUGUUUUGUUUGCUUUUUGUUGUUCUUUUUUGUUUUGCUUUUUUCUUUGCAUUAUGAAAUCCCAAGUCAACUUUUUCCAUUCUUUUAUUUUUUUAAAAAUUGACAUCAUCAUUAUAACCACAAAAUAAUUUUUAAAAUGGAAAAAAAAAACUCACCUGCAACCCCACAAUCUAAUACAAUAAUCAUACUUUUUUCCCUUUAUUCUCCUUUAUUGUGACCAAGGAUGACUUUGGGCAUUGCUGUGAGGAACUAUUUCGUUUAACACCCUACUACCUGAACAUGAUGCGUACUCAGCCUUUCACCACCCCCCAAGUAGCUACACAUGAUGUGAUAAUAGUAUUGGUGGUGGUUUUAGAGAGUUGGAGAGAAAACUGAAGUUGGAUUUGGGUAAAAGAAAAAAGAGUGGGAAUUAUUUUUUCUCCAUUCUAAAGCCCAUAAAGCAAUGUUAAUUGUUCCCACCCCUCUGCUAUUCUGUCUCCUCAGGUACUGUGUGCAGAAAUGUGAUUGAGAUUCAAGUCAGGGCCUCUCUGCCCUUUUCCCUCCAGAAACAAAACCAAGAUAAUUUAUCCUGAACACGGUGAAAAAAGGAAGGGAGGGAGGAGAAAAAGUCCGGGUCUCACCUGGGAUUCUCUGUCUCCUGCAACAUGAAGGAUUUAGCCUGGGAGGAGGUGGUGAGAACUCUGGGAGAGAAAAAAGAAGGAAAGAAUAGUUUUACCCAUGCUGAAGUUAAUUUAAACCUUCACCUAGAGAAGCAAAAAAAAAAAACCCACACUUUCCCAUUUUGUGCCUCCCUUCCUAGAGUUUUAGCCAAAGGUUUAGCUAAGUAAUUGGUUUUACCAGCGCACUCACUCCUCCUAUCCCAAGUCUGUUUGACUCCCUCCCCAUCAUCCUCCUCACCUCUUUUCAGGCAGGGUGGGGAUAGCAGCAGGAGGAGAUUUUGGGAGCCUGGCAACUCCUGCAAGGACCGCAGGACAGCCCCUCUGUGGGGAUGCGUGGUGCCCCAUCUGCCGCCCUUCUGAAGAAUGCACUGCCUUCACUUUUUACUGUGUUAGAGUCCAUCCAGACUGUUCUAUCCAAAAAAGUUUCUUUUUCCCCCACAGGCAAUCAGGAAAUGAUUCCUUUCCCGACUGCUUCUGUCUAGUGCCUGGGAAUCUUGAGUCAAUCCCUCAGUAAGUCAGUGACUAGGGAAAUCCCUCUCUGAGCCUCCCAGUUCAUGUUGCUUAGGGAACCUGAUAUUUUCGUGAAACCUGCCUACACAUGGGCAGCCCAACAGCAGAACAAAUGGUGGUGACCAAAGUGAACAAAGAAGUAUAGUUGUGCCAGCUUCGUAGUUGCCCAUGUGGACAAGUCAGCAGGAUCAGGACACGAGGAAGAGUAAAUGUGAGACAGUCAAUGUGACUUCUGCGAUAAACAGAUUUUUAAACCCCGAAAUUUUGCAAAAUUUUGGUGAAACCUGAACUUUCUUCGUUGCAUAUACUGGCACUAUCUGUACCAUCAUACAACUGUCUCACAUUAAAGCUAUUUUUCUUGGGCACUGAUGAGUAAGGUUGGUAUAAGUUCCUCAGAUCAACAAAAACCCAUUUUCCUGUAAGUCUUACAUUUAGUAUUUAAGGAACUAAAACUUAAAUACAUUUUGUGAAAUGGUUGACACUUCACUGAUAAUGAUUUAUUGCUUGGAUUAAUAAAUUUUCCAAAAGUUGUCUUAUGUAGAAUAUGGUUUGCAACCAGCAGAACCAUUAAUCUAUACUGCAAUGAUAUGCACUAUGUAUAAUUGUUUAAAAGCCUCUACUUAAUGAUGUAAAAUGCUCUAUUUAAUUACACAUUUGGGUAAACUGUAUACUAACAUCUGAUGGCAUUUUUCCACUGUUUGUUGCUUUUUUCAAAUACUUUAUUGUACAAAGCUGUUCUUAAUAUUUUUCAAGUUUUUUUCUUUGAAUUUUGCUAAUGUUUUCCUUGAAUUAUGAGCACUGACAGAAUGUGCUUAGCACUUUUGGCUAUUCACACAGCUUUUGAGCAUGAUUUGCAUCCAAUAUUUACAUUGCUAGCAAUAAUAAGCCAUCUGUGAGUUUUGUCAAAAGUUAUUGGGGAUUUUUUAAAUUUUAGAAAUGCAAAUUAUUGUUUCUUUGAACUAACUCUUAUGCAGUUGCAAAGGCAUUUCCAGUUGUUAUAGUUUGUGUACAAUAUCAGGUGUUCCAGAUUAUGAUUCAUUAUUAAUAUCAUUGCUUCCUUGUUCCCUCUGAGGUCCAGAAGAUUCAUGUUUACAAU
ensembl:lncRNA HCG18 HLA complex group 18